GGGUGUGUAACUUAGUGGUAGAGCACGUGCUUUACACGUACAAGGUCCUGGGUUCAAACCCUGGCUCCCCCA
rnacentral:tRNA from 1 species